UACGAAGGGGGCUAGCGUUGUUCGGAAUUACUGGGCGUAAAGCGCACGUAGGCGGAUUUGUAAGUCAGGGGUGAAAUCCCGGGGCUCAACCUCGGAACUGCCUUUGAUACUGCAGGUCUCGAGCGGGAUAGGGGCAGCUGGAACUUCCGGUGGAGCGGUGAAAUGCGUAGAUAUCGGAAGGAACGCCGGUGGCGAAAGCGAGCUGCUGGAUCCCUCCUGACGCUGAGGCGCGAAGGCGUGGGGAGCGAACGGG
rnacentral:rRNA from 1 species